AUCUACUACCAUAACAACCUGAGAAGUAGAAUAUUAUCAAUAUCUUUGAAAAGCCACAUUAGCCAGUGUGUUUCUUACUGAAAUUAUGAAAGAUUUCCAUGAGAAAGACUCCAAAAUAUCCUUCAAUUGUUGCUUGUGCAAUUUUUUUUUAAGCUGUAUAUGAACACACAGUAUCUAUUUAUUUUUAUGUGGUGCUGAGGAUUGAACCCAGGGCCUCACACAUGUGAGGGAACCGCUUUACCACUGAGCUAUAGCCGCAGCCCCCGUACAUUUUUUUUAUGAUUUUUUUAGUUGUAGUUGGACACAAUACCUUCAUUUUAUUUAUUUUUAUGUGGGGCUAAGGAUCAAACCCAGCGCCUCGCACAUGCUAGGCAAGCGCUCUACUGUUGAGCUACAACCCCAGCCCCUGUUGCUUAUACAUUUUUAUAAAUAAAGUACUUAUAAUUUUCUGUCUUGCUUUUACAUUUGGUAUAUUAUGGUUUCAUAUGUUUUCACAAUACUUUUUAAAGAUACGAUUAAUUUUACCAAUAAUGAAAUUCUGAAAACUGAAGAGAAUCUAUAAGAUAAUGUUCUUUUGGGGGGUGGGGAGCGUACCAGAGAUUGAAUUCAGAGGCAUUCAACCACUAAGCCAGAUCCCCAGCCCUAUUUUGUAUUUGAUUUAGAGACAGUUGCUUAGCACCUCGCCAUUGCUGAGGCUGGCUUUGAACUUGAGAUCCUCCUGCUUUAGCCUCCCAAACUGCUGGGAUUACAGGCGUAUGCCACUGUGCUUAGCUACAAGAUAAUAUUCUUGAAAUAACUGAAGUUGUAGAAAAAACAAAUCAGUGGUUAGGAGUGAUUAGGCAAAAGUGAGAUACAACUAUAAAGAGAUGGUAUAGGACACUUUCUAUGUGGUGAGGGAAUGAUUCUGUAUCUUGAUUGUAGUGUUGCUUGUGCUACACAUGGGGUAAAAUUGCAAAGAACUGUAUUCUACCUCUGCUAACACCCUGGCCUUCACUGUAUAUACACAGAUGAGAACACAUAAAAUCUGAAUAAAGUCUGUGUUUUUGUGAAAAAUAAUACACCAUAUCAUUUUAUUGUUUUGGGGUUAAAUUUUAGUUGGUAAGAUAAUGCCUUUGGAGAAUCUAAAUGAAGGGUACACAGGACUCUUUCUUAAUUAUUUUUAUUAUCACUUGGUAAAACAGGGACCAUCAUACUGAAAUUCAUCCUUUUUCUGUUAUCAAUAAGAAAUAUAACUCCACUUUUUCAUAAUGUCCCCACUCUGUAACAUUUGUAAGUUUUAACAGUUUUCCCUAUAAUUUGUUUCUAUUAAAGCAGCAUUAUGCCAGGAAUGGUGACUCAUGCCUGUCAUCCCAGCAGCUCGGGAGGCUGAGGCAAGAGGUUGCAAGAUCAAAGCCAGCCUAAGCAACUUGAUGAGACCCUUUUUCUUCCUUUCUUUCUUUUUUAAUAUUUAUUUUUUAGUUGGACGCAAUAUCUUUAUUUUAUUUAUUUAUUUUUAUGUGGUGCUGAGGAUCAAACCCAGGGCCUCUCAGAUGUUAGGCAAUCGCUGUACUGCUGAGUCACAACCCCAGCCCGUUGAAACCCUUUUUCAAAAUAAAAAAGAUCUGGGGAUGUGAUUCAGUGGUUAAGCACCCCUGAGGGUCUAUCCAACAAGAAAGAAAAUACUUAGAAAAUACUUAAAACAAAAAACCCAGUUUUUUAAUGUAAAAAUUUGUUUGUAAAUCCAAUCUUAGAUAUUUCUUUCUCUUUCUCUCUCUCUCUCUCUCUUUUUUUUUUUUUUUUUGGUACCAGAGAUUGACCCAGGGGCCCUUAACCUCUGAACCAUAUCCUCAGCCCUUUUUUAUUUUUUAUUUGAGACAGGGUCUUGGUAAGUUGCUUAGGUCCUCGAUAAGUAAGUUGCUAGGGCUGGCUUUGAACUUGUGAUUCUUCUGCUUCAGCCUCCUGAGCUGUUGGGAUUAUAGGUGUGUGCCACCAUGCCCAGCUAAAUUGUAUAUAUUUCUCUACAUGUAUUUUAAAGGUAAUUUAUCACAUGUACAUUUUUAAUGCUGUUCUUUUACUUAUUGUAAUAUCA
rnacentral:lncRNA from 1 species